AUCGGACUUAGUGAUCCGGUGGUUCUGCGUGGAAGGGCCAUCGCUCAACGGAUAAAAGCUACCCUGGGGAUAACAGGCUUAUCUCCCCCAAGAGUCCACAUCGACGGGGAGGUUUGGCACCUCGAUGUCGGCUCAUCACAUCCUGGGGCUGUAGUAGGUCCCAAGGGUUGGGCUGUUCGCCCAUUAAAGUGGUACGCGAGCUGGGUUCAGAACGUCGUGAGACAGUUCGGUCCCUAUCCGUCGCAGGCGUAGGAAAUUUGAGAAGACCUGUCCUUAGUACGAGAGGACCGGGAUGGACGUACCUCUGGUGUACCAGUUGUUCUGCCAAGGGCAUGGCUGGGUAGCUAUGUACGGAAUGGAUAAGCGCUGAAAGCAUCUAAGCGCGAAGCCAACUUCAAGAUAAGAUUUCCCACCGCAGGGGUAAGACCCCAGAAAGACUAUCUGGUUGAUAGGUCGAAGGUGUAAGUGCAGCAAUGUAUUUAGCUUAUCGAUACUAAUAGGUCGAGGACUUGACCAAU
rnacentral:rRNA from 1 species